rnacentral:rRNA from 1 species
UACUCGAGUGGCGAACGGGUGAGUAACACGUGGGUGAUCUGCCCGGCACUUCGGGAUAAGCUUGGGAAACUGGGUCUAAUACCGGAUAGGAGCCAUCUUUAGUGUGGUGGUUGGAAAGUUUUUUCGGUGUAGGAUGAGCUCGCGGCCUAUCAGCUUGUUGGUGGGGUAAUGGCCUACCAAGGCGGCGACGGGUAGCCGGCCUGAGAGGGUGUACGGCCACAUUGGGACUGAGAUACGGCCCAG